AUCACCUCUGCAACAAAAGCCCAGUCAUGCUCCUCCCGGAACCACCACAGCAACCUCUUGAGCAUAAUCCCUCUUUUGUGGGACAGGAAUAGGUCAGAUUCAGUGCAAACACACACUAGCUAAGCCAGACUUCUAGCUCAGGCUUCGGGUCACAAUCAGGGUCAUCGCAGGCAGAGGGCAAAGGGCCAAGCUCCGUGACUCCCACCCCACUGACUACGGCAGCAGCAGCGUGACGUAGGGUGGAGGUCAGCUAGGUGUUGGGAAGUGCUCUAGGAAGGCGAAGCCCACGGGCGAUGGUGCUGCAAGUGAAGUGAGCCCUGGCCUGUCAUGGCAAGUGCUGUCUGUGACAGAGCUCAGGACCAGUGGGACAGACAGACACAGUCAGCCAGCAGGUCAGCUGACUGCCAGGAUACUGUAGAACACUACCCAAAGUGAAAAACCAACACUGCUUCCCAUAAAGCAGACGUCACAACACGAUAGCAGCUCCAGAGAAUAUUAAUGGCUAUAGCUAGGAGGAAGAGUUCAUCCAACACCAGCUGUUUCCUCCAUGACGCCCCCAAGUUCAACCCAACAAAGUCAAAGUUGUGUGCUCGUGGGAAAGUGGGUGUCACAUCUGCCCUGGCUCCAAGAUUGGCUCCCUGAGUCUGUCUCCAAAAAGGUUGAUGAUCACAUCACCGAGACCUGCCGUGUCACCUCCUUCCUGAGACUGUACUGGACAGCUCAUGAGAGGAAGUCAUUUCCUCCCCAAUGCCAUGAAGAUGCUUUCCAGCUGUUUCUCCUGCAGCUCUGAUCACCCCUUUCUGUAGUCGCUUCACCCUCCAGACUGGCAACUCCACGAGAGAAGACACCCGUCUGACUCAUUCCUGUGUUUCCAGCAUCGAGUGCAGAGAAUGAAAUGAAAACCCUGGACACAGUGAAUGAGGUGGCUCUCUGAGGGGUCUGAAACAUAAGUGGCAGCAGGUGGACCAAGGAAGGGAGUCAUACCUGAAAGAAUGAAUGACUCACAGAUAAGGAAACUGAGUCUUGGAGAGGCUUAUCAACUUAUCUCCAGUCACACAGAUGCUGAUUUUGACUUGAAGAAUUGAAAAUAUCCAUAAAACACUUCACCAGUGCUGGUUGCGGAAUGGGAACUUGUUAAACACCACUUCCUCUCUCCCUAACUCUCCUUCCUGGAAGAUUUCCUUCCAGUUUAUUAAGAAGAUGCAGUCCACCAAGUUCUGGGUUCCAGACUAAAAAACUGAACUAGUCUGGGUUUGUAUACUUACUUUUGCUCCCAAAUUAUGGAUUAUCAGGUCUCCCAGGAUUCUCUCUAUGUUUUCUACAAUAUUUUUUUUCAUUGGGGUGACACUAAAUGAAGAAUGAAAAUAGAACAGAUUAAAUUCUCCCAAACUCUU